AUGGACCAAAAUGGCAAAAUGGAGCCGGUAGGAAAGGUGGAAGGAAAGCAGAAGGAGAUCAAGAUCUUACUUGGAACUUUUCAACCUGAUGAGUCCCUGUCUAAUUUUAUUUUAGAAUCAGGACUGUAGAGCUCUAGACAGCUCUGUCUUACAUCUACUUUUCUGAGGCCUGCCCCAUGCUCUCUUGCCUUGGCUCAUUGCUGAUCCGAAUCAGCUCCACUCAAGCUCUCCUGCUGUGCUUGGAGGAUCUCUGUCCUGGCAGGCUGCUGCCAUGGAUCAGGCACAUUCAGGGACUUUCCUCAGGAUUAGAAAGGUGCAAAAUCUGUUCAUGCCUCUCCCUGUGAGGAAGCCCAUCAGCAAGCAAGAUUUGGACACAAGCCAGCUUGCUAUCAGCCAUGGGAAUUUACAAGCUUUCCAACAAGACUGAAGAAAUCCAGGAAACCACAAAGACAGAUCCACUUGAAACAACCAUUUCAUGCUCACAUGUUUUCAAGGCUCAACUGUCCAGUCCAUCUUCCUGGAAUGGAUACAUCUUUACUCCAGUUCAGCUGAUCCUCUCACAUGGGAAAGGUGUGUAUG